CUGUGCAUGGAAGUGAUACACCUGUCCAAUAUAAGACUUUAAUUAUAGCCAUCAGAAUUUAUCUACAUGUAUUCAGCAAAUUUUGAGUGAUAACAGAAGAUUUAGUGAAAUCUGCUUUGUUGAUUCGCUGCCCGAUCUAUUUCCAGUCAUCGUGCAUCAUCAAUUUCCUCCUCCUAUAUGGAUUUAAUUUGAAUGUGGAGAGAUUUUAUUGUUUUGUCAAUUUAUCUUUAUUCAAAAGUUUGGAAAGCAGCCAUGUCUAGAUAUUCCAAGAGAUAUUAAUUCCCAGGGCCAAACCUUUAAUCUGAUUUAUGCGGAGGCCAGAUAUAAAACAGAACAAACUCACCAAUCAUUAAUGGAGGCCAAUAAAGAGAAUGGAAAGGGAGAUUUCUGGCCAGGAAAUUGGAUAAGAUACUGUUAAAAAUAGUACCAUCAGACUUCAACGGACCUCUCUAUCUUUGCUGGGUGAAGUGAUAUCUGCAGUCUUCCAGUCCUCCAGGACCAUGCCAUCAUUAAGUUAUUCCUGAAAGAUCAUGACCAAUGCAUCUCUUAUCUCUUCAGCAGCCUUUCUUCAGCCGUG